ensembl:lncRNA
UUUUGCGUAGUGAGCAUCAGCCGUCCAGCUUCUAGUGCUUUCUGGGGCGUCUGAUUUAGCAACUGAUCGGCUCUCUUUUUCACUUUGAGGGGACACUGAAACUAACUUCCAUUUUUUUUUUUACUCAACUGAAUGGAUCCUGCAAUCGAAAGAGAAAAACUGUCUUACAGAGCCGUUUGUGUACGACAUGCCACGCCAACUUGGAAGUCCUUUCAUUUACAAAGAAAAAAUCUAUGGAGCAGUUGAAGUCUUGCCUACAAGACUGGAUUCUUGGCCCCAAACCAGUCGAGGUUGAUUCCGAGGAAGGGAGGGCAGAAAUGGAAGAAGAACACCGACUGAGCAUUUGCAGUACACUGUUGGAGAGGGACGAGCUGCAGAUGGAAAAGGAGAAGGACGUCCCGCUGCCCGGUUUCCACCAGGGAGACGCAGGCUGCCAUCAGCCAGCCGUCCCUCCUCCGCUGAGAAGCUCCAUCUCUGCGUCCUACCCCGGGGAGAAAAGAAUGUCCAUUCACAGUGUGACCUUCUCCUGCCCCGUGACCCCGUAUGCCACCUCCCUUUGA